AUGCACGCUGGCGGCGUGCCUAAUACCUGCAAGUCGAGCGAACAGAUGAGGAGCUUGCUCCUCUGACGUUAGCGGCGGACGGGUGAGUAACACGUGGAUAACCUACCUAUAAGACUGGGAUAACUUCGGGAAACCGGAGCUAAUACCGGAUAAUAUAUCGAACCGCAUGGUUCAAUAGUGAAAGACGGUUUUGCUGUCACUUAUAGAUGGAUCCGCGCCGCAUUAGCUAGUUGGUAAGGUAACGGCUUACCAAGGCAACGAUGCGUAGCCGACCUGAGAGGGUGAUCGGCCACACUGGAACUGAGACACGGUCCAGACUCCUACGGGAGGCAGCAGUAGGGAAUCUUCCGCAAUGGGCGAAAGCCUGACGGAGCAACGCCGCGUGAGUGAUGAAGGUCUUCGGAUCGUAAAACUCUGUUAUUAGGGAAGAACAAAUGUGUAAGUAACUAUGCACGUCUUGACGGUACCUAAUCAGAAAGCCACGGCUAACUACGUG
rnacentral:rRNA from 1 species